rnacentral:tRNA from 1 species
CAUUACGAAGCUAAUUGCAGCGUUAACCUUUUAAGUUAAAGACCGGGGCCCAAAUCCCCCGUAAUGA